rnacentral:rRNA from 1 species
GAUGAACGCUGGCGGCGUGCCUAAUACAUGCAAGUCGAGCGAACGGACGAGAAGCUUGCUUUUCUUAUGUUAGCGGCGGACGGGUGAGUAACACGUGGAUAACCUACCUAUAAGACUGGGAUAACUUCGGGAAACCGGAGCUAAUACCGGAUAAUAUUUUGAACCGCAUGGUUCAAAAGUGAAAGACGGUCUUGCUGUCACUUAUAGAUGGAUCCGCGCUGCAUUAGCUAGUUGGUAAGGUAACGGCUUACCAAGGCAACGAUGCAUAGCCGACCUGAGAGGGUGAUCGGCCACACUGGAACUGAGACACGGUCCAGACUCCUACGGGAGGCAGCAGUAGGGAAUCUUCCGCAAUGGGCGAAAGCCUGACGGAGCAACGCCGCGUGAGUGAUGAAGGUCUUCGGAUCGUAAAACUCUGUUAUUAGGGAAGAACAUAUGUGUAAGUAACUGUGCACAUCUUGACGGUACCUAAUCAGAAAGCCACGGCUAACUACGU